GACGAACGCUGGCGGCGUGCCUAACACAUGCAAGUCGAGCGAAUGAAGUUCCUUCGGGAACGGAUUUAGCGGCGGACGGGUGAGUAACACGUGGGCAACCUGCCUCAUAGAGGGGAAUAGCCUUCCGAAAGGGAGAUUAAUACCGCAUAAGAUUGGAGUACCGCAUGGUACAGCAAUUAAAGGAGCAAUCCGGUAUGAGAUGGGCCCGCGGCGCAUUAGCUAGUUGGUGAGGUAACGGCUCACCAAGGCGACGAUGCGUAGCCGACCUGAGAGGGUGAUCGGCCACAUUGGGACUGAGACACGGCCCAGACUCCUACGGGAGGCAGCAGUGGGGAAUAUUGCACAAUGGGGGAAACCCUGAUGCAGCAACGCCGCGUGAGUGAUGACGGCCUUCGGGUUGUAAAGCUCUGUCUUCAGGGACGAUAAUGACGGUACCUGAGGAGGAAGCCACGGCUAACUACGUGCCAGCCGCCGCCGUAAGAC
rnacentral:rRNA from 1 species